rnacentral:lncRNA from 1 species
AAACCUCUGGACUGAUGCGAAUGUCUCUGGGUUAAAAGAACAGGCUCUGCCAGCCUGGAGCACAGACUUCAGAGGCGGGGCUUCAGUUGGCUGGCUCUGAUGUCUUUGAUGUGGGAUGUGAAAAAAUCAGUUCUGCAAGCGUUGCAAAAGCCGUGGGUUGUAUUAAGGUGAAGCUGUGGGAAGGAACUGCUGCUCCCUAGGAAGACGCUGACAAGAGCCACAAACAGACAGGAAGCUAAAGGAAGCAAGCAGCAGGGCUUUGUCAAGUUUAGAGAGAGAACUGAUUCACUGGGACAUGGAAACCACUCUUGUCUGAAAGGCCAUAUAAUCCAGCUUCAGAAGAAGUUAGGAUUGAAACGGGAGGAAGCCUGAAGAAAAAAUUUUCAUCAGCUCCUGAAUUAGAUCUUUAUAAUUUUAAUGAAGAAGAAAAGUAGAAACAAAGUUCAGAUAAUUAAAUGGAAAUACUGAAAAGUCAACUUGCCAUCCAAUUUCUGACAAGCAAAGUACUAACCCAGUAGAAUGGAGAAGGAAAUUAUGUUCCCAUAUGAUAUUUAUAGCAAGCUAAAUAAAGUUUUAUUAUAUUCUCA